rnacentral:lncRNA from 1 species
CCUGUUUAAUUAAAAUAAUCUUUUAAUAUUACUUUAAUUAUUUAUUAUCUUAAUUGAUUUUAGGAAAAUAAUUAUUUUUGACCCGGUUCCACCCGAUCCGACCCGGUUCACCAUGACCCGACCCGAAUUUGACCUAGAUCCGGUUAAAUGUGAAAUAGGCCCGGUGUGGCGCCCCCAAAUUCGGGUUAUCUUUAACUCGAGUUUGGUGCUCACGAUACUAAUAUACCCAUUCAUAUUAAAAAAAAAACUAUCUUAUAUUAUAUAACUUAAAUCCCAGGUUCUAUAAGACCUUUACAUAACUUACGAAUCGAAUAUCAUUACAAAACAUGGUACUAACAGUAUUUAUUACAUUUACUACUUAAAUAAGCACAUGCGCUUAAUAAAAGAUUAUUCCACAACUUUGCCUUUUCCUUUGUCUUUACCAGAUGGAUCAACAACUUCAUUCUUAACUGAAAACAUUAUAUUUAACGCAAGGGUGAGCAACAAGCUUGCUCAGCAAGGAAAUAAGCAGCUAAAUAUAAUGGAACAAAAAUAUUAUAUCAAUGAGGAUUCAAUAAUAAAUACUGAACAAGAUAAUUCUUUAAAAGUAUUGAGUCUGAAAAAUUAGACUUUAGCAUGCUGUAAGGUCAAAUGACCAGUGAACUCUUUACUAGAAUUGACAGUAAUAAUACUACAAUCCAUGGAUAUAUACAGUUUAUAAAAGCUGUUUUAUAUCCUAGACUCGUACUUUAGGGGAUCCGCCUUAGUACCCUAAAUUGUGCACAACAUAACAGUCUAAUGACACUUUACAUGUCCUUCGGAAUCAUAUGUCCGGUACAAUAUUCCCCUAUAAAAGGGUUGUUCGUUCACAACAUUAUAUAAGAAUCCAUACAACAAAAUGGGUUGGAAAGCAUUAACUGAUAACUUCAUGAAUAAUAUCAAUAUAUCUCAACGAUUGUCUAACCGAAGUAAUGGUAUUGACAUACUUUCAAUGUAAACUCAUUCAAGAUAGAAAAGUUGAUAUUCUAUUCUUUUGAAGCUGAUUGGAAUAAAAAGGCUAUUUAACCUUAUAUUAUUCAUAAAUAAGGACAGACAGUUNNN